AUUGAACGCUGGCGGCAGGCCUAACACAUGCAAGUCGAGCGAGCGGCGGAAGGUUAAGUCAUGUAUGUCUACUGCCCGUUAGGGGGGGAUAACUACUGGACACGGUAGCUAAUAACGCAUACUAUUGGUUCACCCAUCUGGGAUUAGCUAGUAGGUGAGGUAAUGGCUCACCUAGGCGACGAUCCCUAGGUGGUCUGAGAGGAUGAUCAGCCACACUGGGACGGAGACACGGCCCAGACUCCUACGGAGGCAGCAGUGGGGAAUAUUGCACAAUGGGCGCAAGCCUGAUGCAGCCAUGCCGCGUGUAUGAAGAAGGCCCUAGGGUUGUAAAGUACUUUCAGUCGGGAGGCGUUACCGACAGAAGAAGCACCGGCUAACUCCGUGCCAGCAGCCGCGGUAAUAC
rnacentral:rRNA from 1 species